AUGGACAUCAACAGAGCUCCGGGCCCUGAUAAUAUUCCUGCUGAAUUUUAUCAGUGUUGCUGGGAGAUAGUCAAAAUGGAUAUUAUGAGGCUUUUUGACAGCUUCCACAAAGGCACACUGUAUGUGCAGCAUCUUAACUAUGGCAUCAUCACCAUACUCCCUAAAGUCUCGGGGGCUGACCGUAUACAGCAAUUUCGACCUAUCUGUCUUCUUCGUUGCCCCUACAAGUUGAUCACCAAGGUCAUGGAUAGGAGAGUUUCUAGGUACGCUGACAUUCUUAUUAGCCCCACUUAG
rnacentral:rRNA from 1 species